GACGAACGCUGGCGGCGUGCUUAACACAUGCAAGUCGAACGAAGUGGCGAACGGGUGAGUAACGCGUAAUCAACCUGCCCUUCAGAGGGGGACACCAGUUGGAAACGACUGCUAAUACCGCAUACUGAAGGAGUGGAUUGCGUCGGAUUAGCUAGUGGGAGGGGUAACGGCGCACCAAGGCGAUGAUCAGUAGCCGGUCUGAGAGGAUGAACGGCCACAUUGGGACUGAGACACGGCCCAGACUCCUACGGGAGGCAGCAGUGGGGAAUCUUCCGCAAUGGACGCAAGUCUGACCGAGCAACGCCGCGUGAGUGAAGAAGGUUUUCGGAUCGUAAAACUCUGUUGUUAGAGAAGCGGUAUCUAACCAGAAAGCAACGGCUAACUACGUGCCAGCAGCCGCGGUAAUUC
rnacentral:rRNA from 1 species